GAUGAACGUUGGCGGCGUGCCUAAUACAUGCAAGUCGAGCGAACAGACGAGGAGCUUGCUCCUCUGACGUUAGCGGCGGACGGGUGAGUAACACGUGGAUAACCUACCUAUAAGACUGGGAUAACUUCGGGAAACCGGAGCUAAUACCGGAUAAUAUAUUGAACCGCAUGGUUCAAUAGUGAAAGACGGUUUUGCUGUCACUUAUAGAUGGAUCCGCGCCGCAUUAGCUAGUUGGUAAGGUAACGGCUUACCAAGGCAACGAUGCGUAGCCGACCUGAGAGGGUGAUCGGCCACACUGGAACUGAGAUACGGUCCAGACUCCUACGGGAGGCAGCAGUAGGGAAUCUUCCGCAAUGGGCGAAAGCUUGACGGAGCAACGCCGCGUGAGUGAUGAAGGUCUUCGGAUCGUAAAACUCUGUUAUUAGGGAAGAACAAAUGUGUAAGUAACUAUGCACGUCUUGACGGUACCUAAUCAGAAAGCCACGGCUAACUACGUG
rnacentral:rRNA from 1 species